AAGCCUGUAGCCCAACGGAAGAGGCAAUAGUUUCAGAAACUAUGCAGUAACAGUUCGAAUCUGUUCAGGC
rnacentral:tRNA from 1 species